GUAGGGACCAAGCGUUGUUCGGAUUUACUGGGCGUAAAGGGCGCGUAGGCGGCAAUUCAAGUCAGCUGUGAAAUCUCCGGGCUUAACUCGGAACGGUCAGCUGAUACUGCUUUGCUAGAGUGCAGAAGGGGCAAUCGGAAUUCUUGGUGUAGCGGUGAAAUGCGUAGAUAUCAAGAGGAACACCUGAGGUGAAGACGGGUUGCUGGGCUGACACUGACGCUGAGGCGCGAAAGCUAGGGUAGCAAACGGGAUUAGAUACCCCGGUAGUCCUAGCCCUAAACGAUGAAUACUUGGUGUCUGGAGUUUUUAUCCUCCGGGUGCCGUCGCUAACGUUUUAAGUAUUCCGCCUGGGGAGUACGCACGCAAGUGUG
rnacentral:rRNA from 1 species